rnacentral:lncRNA from 1 species
UGGACCACACCCCUCAGCUCUGUGGACAUGCCACACAUCAAAUAUCGCGAUGGAGAGUGGGGACAUCCUGUGCGAGCCCCCCCCCCCCCGCCGCAACCCGUAUGUCAGCCGCACAUACCCAGCUCCAGUGGCUCAGGAUGCCUGCCGUCCGGGCUCCGUCUAGGCCCCCAGUGCUGGCUGGUGCCACCCUCUGCUGGCACUUAUGUCCCUGGCUGGAAGGAGCCUGGAAAGGCCACUUGAGCUUAAAGCCAGUCAUGGUGGACCACAUUCCUCUGGGUGGUACGGAGCGAGCGCGGCAAGUCCAGGACCCAGACCUUCUUGUGGGGCUUCACCUUGCCUUUCGGCUGCAGGCACAGACGAGGGGGGAGAGGCAAGUCUUCCCACAGGACGCCAGGGAUCCAUCCUUGCCACCCGAUGGAAAGCCACACCUGAAGCCAGACCUCCUGGACUUCUCAGCAAGGAGAAAAGUAACUAAGGCACCAUCAUAUUAAAGGCCCAAUUCAUCGAAGCCCACUCUCCCCGAGCCAGCAGAGUUCCGGACACCUCGCUCCCUGCCUUCCAUCUCACACUCCCAGGCUCCCGCCCUGGCCCAGCCUAGGGCUUUGGAAGUGACCACCUGGGCAGUCCUAGGUGGGCUCUUUAUGCUGAGCCCCGGUUUCUUGGUCCAAAACAUGGGGUGUUAACAGCCCUGCCUCCUGGGUCCUGUAUCCUGACUGCCAGCCACGGUUAGAGCAAGAAGCAUGGAGCAUGAGGUCUCAAAGGCCCCUCAGGACCUGGAGGGAGCUGGAGGAUGGCACAUUUGCCGCUCAGCCCUGGACGGUUCUGACGGUUCUGUAAAAGCACGCCCCGCACGACAGCAACUGCUGGACAUGGAG